UGGCUCAGUGGUUAAGAGCACUGGCUGCUCUGCCAGAGGUCCUGAGUUCAAAUCCCAG
rnacentral:tRNA from 1 species